CGAGAGCCGCCAUCUUCUCGCGCCUAACGUUUUGUAUGGUUUUGUUCUCUGCAAUCCGCGCACACAGCUCAUCGGUGGCUGCACGUCUGCUCGGCGUCGCAAUGCGGCCUGCGUCAUUUUCUGGUGCUCGCGCAAUCGGUGUGAAACAUGUCGCAUGUGAAAUGUUUGAUAGAAGUGCCUCACGUCCAAGUCAAGCCGCCGUACGGGUGUAUGGCUGUGCGCCCCGUUCUCGGAAGCGUCGACGGGUUUCCGCCAUGCGGAUUUCAGCGUUUGGACUCUACUUUUGGUGAGGAUGUUGAUCGACCUUGGGCCUGGCGACAGCACACCCGACAUCGCCAAAGUGCAGCCUAUCAGUUGAGUGCCCCCGAAUGGACCAUCAACAUUGGAAAAUGAAGCAAAGCCAGGGGGAAAAGGUUCCGCUAACACUGCAUUCAGUAUGGUGGCCCAGACGUGUAUGCAAGCAACCUCCUUCAUGUGGACCAAGAACUACUCUGCAGUGUCUCACAGACUUCCAUGCGAAGCCCUCAACAUUCUCCUCUCAGUGGAAUGGCUGCUCAUCUAUCUGCGUGUCCAUCACCAAGAUGGCCAGUUGUAAAGCUCCUGUACCCGUUUAAGAUAGCUUAAUGAUUUUUUUAUUUAGUUUUCAUGGUUGGCCGUAGAAUCUUAACAUUUUUUAUGUUUCUAACGUUUUUACCUGGCCCAAAGUGGUGCAAUAACUUUAAACCAGUGUAAUGUAUUUAAGUGAUGCUCACUCUAAUGCCUAUCUGGUUUUGUUUGUGUUUAAGAAAUUUGAAUGUCUGAUGAGGUAACAGCAUUUAAACUUGUCAUCGUGGCUCUUUUCAGUGAGCUGCUAGGAAAUAAGAUGCAAAACUUAUCACACGCCAGUUGUAGCAUUUUUGUUUUCAAGACUAAAGUAUACAUGUUUCAAAAGAUGGAAAGUGGGGAAAAAAGCCUCAAGAACAUAAUCAUCCUAGGAUUGUCAUGUCCUUACAACUCUGCAAUGACUAAUGCCUCAUACAUCUUGGGAGCACAUUGGUCGCAAUGCCUACAGGUAUACUUGAUAAGAGAAUAGCUUGCACUCAGAUUUGCCACGCAGUUGAUGGCUGAUAGCUUUUGUUUGUCGUCUUCAUGUUACUACUAUGUAUUCAAUAUGCAUUUACAUGUGCUGCGGUUUUUUGCAGUC